GUGUUCUUCUACACAUACAGCAGUAGUGACCAUUGAAAAUCACUUCCCAUAUAUUCUGAUUUAAUAGUAUUAAAGAGAAACCAGUGACUACAGAUAUCUCAUGUGUGUCCACACAAACCAUCGUGGAAAAGGAACAAACUUGAUCUCUGCCUUCUUAAAAGGGGACUGAUCCCAUUCAUGAGGACUUCACUCUCAUGACCCAACUACCUUCCUGUGCCUCGCCUCCAAAUACCAUCAGAUUGUACAAGAUUCACUUUCUGAUUUUCUGAGGAUUAUGACUGUCCCAAAACAAUACAAAGAUUGGCUUCAUGAGGGUAAAUCUGGUGAAGACUGAGAAGAGUCCGAAAACAAACUUGUGCCAAAGAGGAUUCUUCUACACUGAAGAGUUAUGAAGUGAUGAGCUAGCAGGUUACAGAAAGUGUUCUCUCAGCACAAAUGGCAAAUUCGGGCCUCACUGUAAGGGAGGCACAGUAUUCACUACUUUACUAUUACAAUCAUGGCAUGGGCACAUCCCCCUAUGUGGACCCUGGAUGCCUACUUUUUUCCUAUAUAGCUGGUCCUCUGUGUCAUCCACGAACUCACCCACUCUCCCUAUGACUCGUGCCCUGUCCAUGCACUUCUAACUCAAUUUGCAUCUCAUAUUUCCAAUACCUCUCCUAAUGCCAGUUUCACCAUCUCAAAUCUGUACCAGUGUUUAACUUUCCUCUAAUUGUUUUCUCCGCUCUACAUCUCUUUCACGUCACAAAUUCCAUAUUGCCACAUUUCCUAAAAUGCAAAUAUGAUGUUAUUUCUUAAACAUAGGAUUUCUUGAAUUUUACCACCUGACAAUCUUUAUCUCUUCCCCACUCCAUGAACCCCAAUGGGUCUACAUACAUGAGACAUUUUAGGCAUUCUCUCCAUCCAAAAUGCUAUUUCAAACAUUCACUUCUUUGCUUAGCUUCUCUCUGAUUAGAUUGACCUUUUUUCCUUGUUUUCUGUACGGAAAUAAUCAAAUACUCCCAUAUCUACAAAAAUCACACUGUACUGUAAUGGAAAAGUUAAUGGCUCUUCCUUAGUAAUCUUGUUUGCAUUUUAAACACACUUAAUCUAGAAUUAUCAAAUUACAUUAUAAUUAUUAUUUAUGUAUAUGUUACCCCAAAAUACAUGAGAUUAUAUGGCUAUUAAAGACAAAGAAUGCAAAAACGAAUAUCUGCAACUGUCCACAUAAAUACAAUUUAUUUUUUUAUCCUCAUUGACUAUGCUUCACCAAACAUACCUGCAUCUUUCCUCAAGAUAUACAUUUAUCUUGAAAUAUCCCAGCUUAUUUUUUUGUAUGUUAAACUUCUAAUUAUCUGAAGAUGAUGUUCAAAUGUCAUUACUCUUAUGAAAAAUUUCUGCAUGGUGAAUGACACAAAAUUUUUUUAAAAUAUAUAAUUUAUUCUGCAUUGUUUCAGGAAAAAAUCUACAAUGGUAUUCUUUCGUAGCACUGUAUUUAUCAACAGGAGCACAGAUUAUUGUUAUUUAUCAAAGGAAAAAAAAUCACGACCCUAGGAUUCUCAGACUCAAUACUUUUUAUUUUAUUGUUUUUUUAUUGUAAACAAAUGGG